rnacentral:rRNA from 1 species
CCUACGGGAGGCAGCAGUGAGGAAUAUUGGUCAAUGGGCGCUAGCCUGAUCCAGCCACGUAGCGUGAAGGAUGACUGCCCUAUGGGUUGUAAACUUCUUUUCUAUGGGAAUAAAGUGCAGUAUGUAUACUGCUUUGCAUGUACCUUAUGAAUAAGGCUCGGCUAACUCCGUGCCAGCAGCCGCGGUAAUACGGAGGAUUCGAGCGUUAUCCGGAUUUAUUGGGUUUAAAGGGAGCGUAGGCGGGUUGUUAAGUCAGUUGUGAAAGUUUGCGGCUCAACCGUAAAAUUGCAGUUGAUACUGGCAUCCUUGAGUACAGUAGAGGUAGGCGGAAUUCGUGGUGUAGCGGUGAAAUGCGUAGAUAGCACGAAGAACUCCGAUUGCGAAGGCAGCCUGCUGGACUGUAACUGACGCUGAUGCUCGAAAGUGUGGGUAGCAAACAGGAUUAGAUACCCCAGUAGUC